rnacentral:lncRNA from 1 species
CCUAAGGGAUCGUUUGUAUAGUUGUAAACUAGUCAUUUUCAUUAAUGCGUGAUUAUAACGACUCACAACCCGUAAUUAAUCCAAUGUCACCUGGAAUUAUCGAAAACAACGUCGUAUCGGAAUAAUACUAACUCAGCCACGUAAUUUAAUGUAUUGGGAAAACAUCGGGUUUUCCUGGGAAAUUCAACGCUCUUAACUAUGUGAUAUAUACAAAGUUUAACAAUUAUUCACAUUCAUAAUAAUCAACAAGCAUACUUACGGAUCUUCACACUUUUUCUUAUAUACAACAUUUCUUUUUAGAAAAUAUCGGAUUUUCUGUGGUUUUCAAAAUUAUACAAAUCAUUUCUUUUCAAACCUUACUUAUGAACUCACCAACAUUUCAUAUGUUGACGUUUUUCCAAAAUACUUGUAUUCUCAGGUAACAGGUAAAUCGAAGGAAAAAUGUACCCAGUGAUGUCAUGUUGUUUGUUUAAUUAGUAUCGAACAAUUUACGUUUUGGAAAUGUAAUGUUUUGAAACAAUGUACUAAAUGUAAACAAUACCGGUUGUAAUAUUUCAAUGCAUGGUGAUGAAUGAUGUUAUGUUUCAUGUAUAUUCAUUGUGAUGGUAUUCAAUUGAGUCACAAUAGCCCUCGGACGUUUCCGCCGUCUGGUUCGGGGGUGUGACAGGUUGGUAUCAGAGCUCUGUUUAUAGUGAACUAGCAUAUCUAGCCACACAUUGAUAUGCAACUAUAAACCAAAAGAGGGACUAACACAACUCUGAACAAAACAAGUAAAACAUAACAAUAAAACACCCUUGCUUGUAUUAGGAACGAGAACCUAACACCGAAUCAAACAAGAUAACACUAGUAUCUCGGUUAAUCCAGGACUGUUCUUAGUUGUAUCAAGGAACGGAUGUAGCCUGAUCAACUACAUUCCUACCAAGGUAUCACUACCAUACGUCCUGAGGAGAUCGUGAUAGCUAGAGAACCUAAAAACAUACCCCUUUAUCACCAAAAAGAGAACAUCUGUUUAGUCUAUACCAUAGUUGUAGAGUCAUAGGAGUAACGAUAGUUUAUACCUUCCCCCAGUCUUCAUGGAGGGAGAGCAGCAGGGUAUCCAGUUUCAUCAAGUCCUAGUGGCUCACGGAAUGCUUGAAGAGGAACCAGAAGGGAAUCAAGAGGGAGCACACGAUGUCGGACCUGACGAAUACACAGACACCGACUACGAGUUCGAGGAGAGUGAUGAUGACGUGGAAGAAGGGCAAAACUCGGGCAGGGAUAACACUACACCACCUAUAGAUGAGGCGCAACCGGACCACCCCGCCCAACCAGUGAACCCCCCAAGGGAGAACCGCACUCCCAAAGCUGAGAUCACCGCCCUGCGGAAACAGCUGUACGCCAUGGAAGCACGUGCAGUGCAAGCUGAGCAUGAAAGGGAUGAGGUUAUUGGAGACAUGACUGAGAUGGCUCAGUUGCUGGCUCAACACUUCAGCAUAUGACCCCGCCACUAUAUAGGACACACCACAAAGUGUUAGGGAUAGGCUUAUCUGACUAGGUCAUUAGGAUCUAUUCUAUGUACCCCGACUCUAUGUUUAAGUGACUACACUACUCAUAGAGCCGUUAUGCUGCCACCGCACAAGUUCCGGCCACACCACAUGCUCCAGCCUCAGCUGCUUCGAAUGCUCCUAGACCUUAUUUCGGUAAUCUUCCCAAGUGCAACAAGUGCGGUUUCCAUCACAAUGGAGAGUGCAAGGAGCUGCAAUGCACCAGUUGCAAUCGGAAGGGGCACACGGCAAGGUAUUGUAGGACUUACCCUCCUCAGAAUCAACAACAGGGAAACAACAACAACAACAACAACCGCAACAACAACAACAUCAACAUCGGCGGCAACAAUGCAGGGCCUAGCGAUACCUGCUAUGGGUGUGGGAGGACUGGGCGUUUCCGCCGAGAUUGACCUAACAACAACAAUCCCGGAAAUGGAGGAACAGGAAGGGUGUUGACUAUGGGUCAGGGGGAGGCGAUUCAGGAUCCCGCUGUUGUUACCGGUACGUUUCCCCUAAACCACACUUAUGCAUGCAUCCUAUUUGACACCGGAGCCGAGCGAAGUUUUGUGAGCAAUAAGUUUAAACAUUUAUUAAAACAACAACCCCAGAAGCUCAAUGAAACCUUUACGGUGGAAAUGGCCAAUGGGAAAACCGAAUCCACUGGGGAAAUCUACACCGGAUGUACCCUAACCUUAAAUCAACACGUCUUUCGAAUAGACUUAAUGCCUGUUUCCAUUAGGAGUUUCGAUGUGAUUAUUGGCAUGGACUGGUUAAGCCCCCACCAUGCUGAAAUUAUGUGUCACGAGAAGGCCGUUCGCCUUCACCUUCCCAAUCACGAAACCCUAGUUAUUUACGGAGACAAACCUAGCACGAACCUUCGCCUCAUCUCGUGCAUCCAGGCACAGAAGCAUCUACGAAAGAACGAUUUGACGUUUCUGGCUCACAUAGUGGAUAAAACCAAGGAAGAGGUUAACAUUCAAGACAUUCCCGUAGCACGUGAAUUCCCAGACGUAUUUCCUGAAGAUCUUCCUGGAGUACCCCCAGAGAGACAAGUUGAGUUCCGAAUUGACCUCGUUCCAGGAGCAACCCCUCUCGCUAAAUCGCCUUACCGGCUAGCUCCUGCUGAAAUGCAGGAAUUGUCGAGUCAACUCAGCGAACUCCUGGGCAAGGGAUUCAUCCGACCCAGCUACUCGCCAUGGGGAGCUCCGGUCCUCUUUGUCAAAAAGAAGGACGGAUCUUUUAGAAUGUGCAUCGAUUACAGGGAGUUAAAUAAACUCACUGUCAAAAAUCGCUAUCCACUCCCACGAAUCGACGAUCUAUUUGACCAGCUCCAAGGAGCUAGUUACUUCUCUAAGAUAGAUCUACGGUCCGGAUACCAUCAACUCAAGGUCCGGGAAGAGGAUAUUCCUAAAACCGCUUUCCGAACUCGUUACGGACAUUAUGAAUUUGUCGUAAUGCCCUUCGGUCUAACAAAUGCCCCUGCCGCAUUUAUGGAUCUGAUGAACCGAAUCUGUCGACCAUUCCUCGACAACUUUGUCAUCGUCUUCAUUGACGACAUUCUCGUCUAUUCCCGAAGCGAGGAAGAGCAUGGCCAACAUCUCCGACAAAUCCUAGAAACCCUGCGAACGGAAAAGCUAUACGCAAAACUCUCCAAGUGUGAGUUCUGGCUCCGUAGCAUGAACUUCCUAGGUCAUGUUGUUAGCCAAGAUAGAAUUCAUGUGGAUCCCUCUAAGGUCAAAGCCGUUGAAGGAUGGUCCGUUCCGACAACACCCACAUAAAUUCGUCAAUUCUUAGGCCUAGAGGGCUACUAUAGAAGGUUCAUUCAAAACUUCUCUAAGAUNAACUCAAAGUCCGGGAAGAGGAUAUUCCUAAAACCGCUUUCCGAACUCGUUACGGACAUUAUGAAUUUGUCGUAAUGCCCUUCGUUCUGACAAAUGCCCCUGCCGCAUUUAUGGACCUGAUGAACCGAAUAUGUUGACCAUUCCUCGACAACUUUGUCAACGUCUUCAUUGACGACAUUCUCGUCUAUUCCCGAAGCGAGGAAGAGCACGAACAACAUCUCCGACAAAUCCUAGAAACCCUGCGAACGGAAAAGCUAUAUGCAAAACUCUCUAAGUGUGAGUUCUGGCUCCGUAGCGUGAACUUCCUAGGUCAUGUUGUUAGCCAAGAUAGAAUUCAUGUGGAUCCCUCUAAGGUCAAAGCCGUUGAAGGAUGGUCCGUUCCGACAACACCCACAGAAAUUCGUCAAUUCUUAGGCCUAGAGGGCUACUAUAGAAGGUUCAUUCAAAACUUCUCUAAGAUCGCCAAGCCACUUACCUCACUUACACAAAAGGGCGUACCAUUCAAAUGGACGGACAAACAAGAAGUUGCAUUCCGAACCCUGAAGCAGAUGCUCUGCAGCGCCCCGGUACUAUCUCUACCAGAGGGAACGGAAGAUUUUGUGGUCUACUGUGACGCGUCAAAUCAGGGUUUAGGUUGCGUUCUCAUGCAGCGUGGAAGGUUGAUAGCUUACGCAUCCCACCAACUAAAGACACACGAAGUGAAUUAUACAACCCAUGAUCUGGAAUUGGGAGCGGUGGUCUUUGCUCUGAAGAUUUGGAGGCAUUACCUUUAUGGUACGAAGUGCGCCAUAUUCACAGACCACAAAAGUCUCCAGCAUAUCUUGAAUCAGAAAGAGCUGAAUACGAGGCAACGAAGAUGGGUUGAAUUAUGAAACGAUUACGAGUGUGAAAUCAAGUACCACCCGAGCAAGGCCAACGUGGUAGCUGAUGCAUUGAGUGGGAAGGAGUACUCUAAUCGUCGUGCAAAAACUCUCUCAAUAACCAUCCAAUCUCACCUAACUACUCAGAUCGGGGUAGCCCAGUCAGAGGCCAUGAAAACGGAAAACAGAGCGAGCGAAGCAUUACGCGGGAUGGAGAAGAAUCUAGAGGUAAAGGAGAACGGAGUAUACUAUUUCAUGAACCGUAUUUGGGUCCCUAAACUCGGAGGAUUUAGGGAGGUAGUCAUGAAUGAAGCUCACAAGACGCGAUACUCCAUCCAUCCAGGUUCGGACAAGAUGUACUUGGAUAUUAAACAACAUUAUUGGUGGCCUAACAUGAAGGCAGAAAUUGCCACCUAUGUCAGCAAAUGCCUUACUUGUGCCAAAGUAAAGGUGGAGUACCAGAAGCCCUCGGGGUUAUUACAGCAACCGGUGAUCCCCGAGUGGAAAUGGGAAGGGAUUUCCAUGGACUUUGUGACCAAGCUACCCAAGACGUCGGACGGAUUAGACACUAUAUGGGUAAUAGUUGACCGACUGACGAAAUCCGCCCAUUUCCUGCCAAUGAAAGAAUCCUACAAGAUGGAGAGACUGACGCGUUUAUACAUUCGAGAAAUCGUGAGACUUCAUGGAAUACCAGUGUCUAUCAUCUCAGAUAGAGACACUAGAUUCACUUCACGUUUUUGGCAAUCACUUCAGAAAGCACUUCGAACCCAUCUCGACAUGAGCACCGCUUAUCACCCACAAACGGACGGUCAAAGCGAACGAACCAUUCAGACGCUCGAAGACAUGCUUUGGGCAUGUGUGAUAGACUUUGGGAAGUCUUGGGACAUCCACGUACCCUUAGUUGAAUUCUCUUAUAACAACAGUUACCAUUCGAGCAUCAAAGUCGCUCCUUUCGAAGCACUAUAUGGACGUAAGUGUAGAUCACCGUUGUGUUGGGCUGAGGUGGGCGACACCCAGCUAGAAAAGACACUAGCAUCGAACAAGGCGCUAACGGGACCGGAGAUCAUUCGUGAAACCACAGAAAAGAUAGUUCAAAUCAGAGCUCGAUUACAAGCAUCACGCGACCGACAGAAGAGCUACGCCGAUAAACGGCGAAAGCCCUUAGAGUUUCAGGUCGUGGAUCGAGUGCUGUUAAAAGUCUCACCUUGGAAAGGAGUCAUUCUUUUCGGAAAAUGGGGAAAACUGAACCCACGAUACAUUGGACCUUUUGAGAUCGUUGCCCGAAUAGGUCCAGUGUCGUACAAACUGCUGCUACCCGCGGAGCUAAACAGUGUACACCCCGUGUUCCAUGUCUCCAAUCUAAAGAAGUGCCUAUCAGAUGAAACACUCGUCAUUCCCCUUGACGAGAAUGAAAUCAACGAUAAUCUUCUGUUCGUUGAAGAACCAAUCGAAAUCAUGGACAGGGAGGUAAAGCGUACUAAGCAAAGUCGCAUCCCGAUCGUAAAAGUACGGUGGAACGCGAAGCGUGGGCCAGAAUUCACGUGGGAAUGCGAAGACCAAAUGAAGCAAAAGUACCCUCAUCUAUUCUAGCAUUCUCAAAUCUAGCUUUCAAAAAGAAUUUCGGGACGAAAUUCCCUCUAACGGGGGGAUGAUGUCACAACUAGAAAUUUUUGUGCCUUGUAACUACAACACUUAAGCCAAAUUAUGAAUCAAAGACAUGAGAGCAUGUAUGAUGCAUACUCUAUAACAACAGAAUUUCAAUCAAACACCUCAUACAAGCAUUUCAAUGUAGUCAUUAAGCAAUUGGAGACCCUAGAAGUUCUUGUUUAAGUCGAUUAUGGACUAGGACUUCCUUAUUGGGCCCAAUAGACCAUAAGUUUCCAAUUUGCUACCUUGGGCUUAGAACUCUUAAAUGGGCUUCCAUUGGACCCAUUUCAAUUUAAUUCAAUAUUUUGGGCCAUAUUGGGCCUAGAAUGAAAUAGAUUAAUUAUAUGAACCAUUUUGGACCAUAAUUUACCUAAUCUAACCCAAUAAAGCAUAAAAAUCACAUUUCUAUUUUUAUAGGGCCAAAACUCAUUCAACCUAACUAUAACAUGGGCUUAAGGGAAAAAAGCCCAAAAACCUCCUCUCACCCUCCCCAUUCUCGGCCCAAGCCCAAGAGAAAGAGGAGUUGACUUUGUGAGUGACACCUCACCAUUAUUCAUGGGACAUCCAUGCAUGAGAACUCAAACAUCCAUGGACUCACAUACUUCCAAGCUUAGCCACUCUUUUCUCCUUCUCUCUCUCUUGCUCUCGGCCGAUUUCAAGCACACACACACACACACAUUUCACUCAUUUUUCUCUCAAGAAAACUCCCUCAUAUCUCCUCCAUAUUUUCGAGAUCUAAGGAGCUUUCAAGAAGAUAUCUCCACAAAUUCUUCAUCUAAGGUAAGAUCAAGUUUGGAUCUAUGAUCUAGGUUCUUUGUUUUAUCAAAAUCUCCUUCUAAUCCAUGUAAAAAUCAUGAUCACUCUCUUAGAAACCCUCUAAGUUCGAGAUCUCCAAGGAAGGUUGCUAAGGCCGAAUUUUCUUCUCAUUUUCUUCCAAAAACCGAAACCACACCCAAAGGUGAGCUUCAUACCCCCUCUUUUUCGGUUUUUAUAAGUUUUGUGGGGGAGAAUACAAGCAAAUGUGUAGAUCUAUGAGUAUAUGUAUGCCUUGUAUGAUUUUUAUGCUUAUAUGUAUGAUCUUAUGUGAUUGUGAUGUUUAUACUAGCCAAAAAGAACCUAAAAAUCGAGAUCUACAAUAUGAUGAAUGAAAUAAGUAUAACUUAUACCAUUUCACACUAAUCAAGUCUAGAAAAAUAACCAAGUUGGUUAAUAUGAACAUUUUUGGACUUAAAACCCAUUUUUGGGCUCAAAAUGCUAAAAAUACAAAACUAAAGGGCCCAAAACGACAAUAUAUGAAUUUUGAAGGUUGAUAUGAGUCUAAACAGCUUCUAUUGUGUAUUUUCUGAAUAUCAACACUUUUGAGGUGUUAAAAAUAUGAAUUUUAAACAUAAUGGGCCAAAAUGGGCUCUUCGGCCCAAUAAAGCCCCAAAUUGCGAAAAUUUUGAUUUGGAGGGGCUGAAACUGCAUAUUUCUGUAAAACAGGGGAUUUCUAGUGUACCAAGUUCAUUUCAAGGGUCAAAAAUGCUUUUCAAAUUAAAAAGGGGCCAAACAUGCAAAAAUUUUCCUUUUUGGGCCAAAAUUGUAAAAGUUCCGAAAAUGGAGGUUUCAACCGAGAAAAUUUCAUUUUUGAAGGACAUAAGCUGUUUAUCAAGUAAAUUUGUGUUAAAAAUGUCUUUCCAACAAGUUUUGAUACUAAAGUGUCAAGAAAAAUAGUUUAAGGACUAAAAUGGAAAUUCUUUUAUACACAAUAGGUUAAAAGUGUAAAUUUUAUCCAAGAAAAGGCUUAAAAAGAUAAACUCUAAUUCUUAAAACAACAAAUCCCUUAAGAUAAAAUACUAGUACUACUUCUACCGGCAAAACGUAAUAAUAAAUACACCUUCAACACCAAAAUCGUUAUCAAACGAAUUGAUUCGGUCUCGAAUCAAUAACAAAUCAAAAAUCAAUAAACGAUGGUACUUCAAUACACACGCGGAAAAUUCACGAGAAGUCAAUACACCAUCUUUGGGCUCAAAAGUUUCAAAUCGUGCUUGUUGGGCCUAGCUAGCCCAAUGACAUGAUCUUUAGUCCCGAAGGGAACGCGCUUACAUGUUAUUGGGCCUUAUAUGACCUAGUUUCGUGUAAAAGGACUUUCAAUAGCUUUAUUGUGCUGUUGGGCCCCAAGGGUCCUUUGGUACUGCUAGCAAAGUCAAGAAGUCAAAUGCGAUUCAGGCCAAAGGGCCUUUCGCAUUCACGAUAGCCUUGAACAACUCAUGGAAAUAACGGGGGCUUCGUACCCUCUUUUCUCCUCGGUUGUGGGGCUAUGAGAAGUCAGGGUGGUUGGAUUAAGUGAGUAGUACGGACGACGCCUAAGGGAUCGUUUGUAGAGUUGUAAACUAGUCAUUUUCAUUAAUGCAUGAUUAUAACGACUAACAACCUGUAAUUAAUCCAAUGUCACCUGGAAUUAUCGAAAACAACAUUGUAUCGGAAUAACACUAACUCAACUACGUAAUUUAAUGUAUUGGGAAAACAUCGGGUUUUCCUGGGAAAUUCAACGCUCUUAACUAUGUGAUAUAUACAAAGUUUAACAAUUAUUCACAUUCAUAAUAAUCAACAAGCAUACUUACGGAUCUUCACACUUUUUCCUAUAUACAACAUUUCUUUUCAGAAAAUAUCGGAUUUUCUGUGGUUUUCAAAAUUAUACAAAUCAUUUCUUUUCAAACCUUACUUAUGAACUCACCAACAUUUCAUAUGUUGACGUUUUUCCAAAAUACUUGUAUUCUCAGGUAAC